GGUGGCAUUAAUUCAUUGCUUCGCCAUAACACACGACGAGCGGCGAGCAGGACCUCCAGGGAUUAUACGUCCGAACAGAUCGCGUUAUUCUGCCACAGUUCGAGAGAUCCGAAGGCUAUGGUACAUUCGAAACAGACAGAGACGAACGCCGUUUCAUAUGAACAAAAAAAAGUGAUUGAUGUUUCAAUAGAUGGGCAGUGGAGGCUUAAUACUGGACUUUGAUAUGGACGUUUAUGUGGUCGGUUUCGCUGUUUUGGUGUGAUGUGCGGUGAUAUGUGGUUGUUUAGUUGCUAAAGUGACGACUGUGUCUAAUGGUAAGUUAAUUAUCUCUUGGUGACGUUAUGUUGACCCACUAAUUACCGAUAAUUUCUGAACGAGGUACAACAGUUUCGGCCGCCAUUCACCCCUACAGGUAUAACCCCGCUGCCAGGCGUACGAUUAGGAAAAAAAAUCCUCGCCCCCGUGACGCGAUUUUGAGAACAACAAAUCAGACAAACAUCAAGAAUAAACAAAACCCACGGUACUUUGACAUCAAUAAAUAUUAAAACCAGUAAAAAGAUAAAACUCCGAUCUCACAGAAAUGACAAAGAAUGAAGAUAGAGAGAGAAAGGGAACAGAAAACUAAGGGAAAAGAAAAGAAAAACACACCUUAGGCGAGACAGGUCGCUUGUGUAUCCAGGAAAGAGGUGAUAGUGGUAUUACACCCUCAGUCGGGAGACAUCCGUCGCCGUGUGUAGACAUACCCGUCUUGAGCACGACAAAACCAAAGACACAAACGAAACGGAAAAUAAAUCAAAUUAACCAGAACAGAGAAAAAAAAACAACAACAAAAAACCGAAAGAGUAAAAGAGACAACAAAGAAUAAAA
rnacentral:lncRNA from 1 species